UUGAGACCCCUUUGGGGGUCAAAUGAUUCUUUCAUAGAUAUUCUGCAUAUCAGAUAUUUGCAUUGUGAUUCAUAACAAUAACAAGAUGGCAGUUAUGAAGAAACAAUGAAAAUAACUUUAUGGUUGGGGGUCACCACAACAUGAGGAACUGUACUAAAGGGCUGUAGCAUUAGGCAGGUUGAACUGUACUAAAGGGCUGUAGCAUUAGGCAGGUUGAACUGUAUUAAAGGGCUGUAGCAUUAGGCAGGUUGAACUGUAUUAAAGGGCUGUAGCAUUAGGCAGGUUGAACUGUAUUAAAGGGCUGUAGCAUUAGGCAGGUUGAACUGUGUUAAAGGGCUGUAGCAUUAGGCGGGUUGAACUGUAUUAAAGGGCUGUAGCAUUAGGCGGGUUGAACUGUAUUAAAGGGCUGUAGCAUUAGGCAGGUUGAACUGUAUUAAAGGGCUGUAGCAUUAGGCAGGUUGAACUGUAUUAAAGGGCUGUAGCAUUAGGCAGGUUGAACUGUAUUAAAGGGCUGUAGCAUUAGGCAGGUUGAACUGUAUUAAAGGGCUGUAGCAUUAGGCGGGUUGAACUGUAUUAAAGGGCUGUAGCAUUAGGCGGGUUGAACUGUACUAAAGGGCUGUAGCAUUAGGCAGGUUGAACUGUAUUAAAGGGCUGUAGCAUUAGGCGGGUUGAACUGUAUUAAAGGGCUGUAGCAUUAGGCAGGUUGAACUGUACUAAAGGGCUGUAGCAUUAGGCAGGUUGAACUGUAUUAAAGGGCUGUAGCAUUAGGCAGGUUGAAAAGCCAUUGGUCAGAGGGGAAAGAGAGGAAGCAAGCGCUGGCUGAACAAAGCAAAGAAGAACGACUGCACGGCUGAUGAACGGAACAGGUCGUGCAAACACAGAUCUCAGAACAGGCCCCAGAAGUACCUUAAGUAUUUUGCCGGUAGCUUGGUUUUGCAAGGUCUUGUUUUGAGGUUGGGGUGUCUGUGCCUGUGAAGGACCUCUUUUCUGCAAAUAUAAGCAGGGAUUUGAGAGGUGUGUCCACAUCGAGGGUAUAAUUUCCUUUGAUGGUUGUUCCUCCAGAAAUAAGGUACAGGUGAGCAGAUGAAUAUAGGAAGGCAGAGGACCAGAGGAGGUGGGUGGGGAAGGGGCUUUCCAAGCCCUCCAGGCCCUUUUCUGAAAGCCGAGCAACAGUGCUGGGCUUAUGAAACGGGUUGCAGGCUUCUAAGAGCAGCCUGAGACUCCGUGCUGCUGCAGGACAGGUAUCUGCCAUCUGACCUUGGAGCACACUGUUCUACAUCCCGUCUGCCCAGGUGUGUGACCUUCCUACCCCCUGGAAUGUGGCCCACCAGAGAUACAAUCAGCAGAAUUCCUCUGGCUCCCCAAGAAAUGCCCCUUUGGGAGACAAAAAAAGUCUAAACAAGCUGGAAAAAAAUGUGAACGGGUCCCCGUUUCUGCCUGAACAAUUGUCCCGUUAUUGUGACUAUGCCCAAUAAGGAGGGCGAGCGAUCAGAUAACACAUUUGCCAGAAGCCGUCCGUGGGGCACAUCUGAGGUGGGCCUGUCAGCAUCCUCAGCUCCGCUGCUUGGGCUUCUGUCCCUCUGUGUUGUGCUAUGUCACAUCUAGUAAACUGUAUGCAGUGCAGACUGUCAGAGUUGAAAAUAUGUAGCCAGGGUCACACGGUGUGGGGAACGGGAUAGAGAACCCGGUGCUGAAAGGGAAUCGCCUGUGCACAUCAGUAUUUAUUCACCUUCUGGUUCGAUGCCGUGAAGACAUCUCCACUAAGUCUGGUCUCAGAAAUCAAAUCCUGCCUCUGCCAGGAGAAAAAGACUUCGUGCAUCUAUUAGGAGAAGAUUCACAUCUGAUUUUGUGUACGAUGUGGGCGGCCGUCCACAUGCAUUUGAGGUUUGGGCAGAGGGUACCCCUGUUUAAAAAGAUGAGGUGCUUUCUACCCAGAUAGACACUUAGCCAUUUGGCUCUAUGGACGUUCUUCCUACAUGAAUCUGUGGCUGAAUAAUGACUCAAAGCGUGCAUGGAUCCAUGGAUGGGGAGGGAACUCUCCAAAGCAAACAAAGCCAACCCCGGCCCUGGCGCUGCCCGCUGGAUGCCACUUUCCUUUUGCUGGGCUCACUCCUCUGAAGGGGUCUCUCAAAUGAGGGGGAAACACCUGUCAAGUAUAUUUUUCUUUUAAGAAAAAAAUAAAUUUAGGAGCGUUUUGAAUGGCUCUGGCUUGGGCCCCACAGGGUCCCGCUUAUACUUUGUAAGCUCUCUGGCCUUGGCAGCCCCCGGAUUUUCAGCUGCCACGAAGCAGGGUGGAAAACAUCCUUGAUCCUCCAAGUUGUGACUCGGGGACGGGGUGCGGGGGGAAGGUUUGUACCAAGCGAAGCACAGCUGAGGAAUUGUAUCUGGGGAAAGCUGAGGAGCUUCAGAGCAAGCUAUAAUGUGCCAUUGUCAACCAAACGGCCACCCCAGUACCAGGUGUCCCACUACUACAUGAAAUAAUUUUCAUUCCCUCAAAACAAAGGUUAAGGUGUGCCAAUACAUUAAAAAUAAUAAUAAUACAUAUACAUUUAACAGUAGAAUUGUUCUCCCUGUUUCUUUCUUGUCGUCCUUCCUUUCUUUCUUCCCCUCCUUUUCUUCUGUCUGCCCAUAUAAUAGUCCUCCAUCCAUCCAUCCAUCCAUCCAUCCAUCCAUCCAUCCAUCCAUCCGUCGCUUAUUCUUUGAUGGAUGAACUGUUUCACACUUUAAUAGCUCAUCUCAAAGGGCCUGACCAAGGGAGGGACAAAAGUGAAGGAGUCAGUUCCUUGGCCUGAUACACGGGACACAGGCACAUGCUCUAGGGCAAGGAGCUAAGUAGUAGUGCUUCAACAUUGGUUUCAGGUGCCAAGCCAUAGCAGCCCCAUGGAAGUGAUCUCAGCUGUGUCAGCAUUGUAGCCGUGCACGCUCUCAGGGAAAUAGUCCACCCAAACCAUCAGGUUUGUGGGGCAUGAAUGAUACACUAAUUCUGUCUGACCUGCCUACACUCUGACUCUUCCCCCUUCACAAUAGUACAGCACUGUGGAGUAGUGGAAAAACAAACAAAAAAACAGGGACUUGGAGUUCUAUUUUCCCAAUAUAAAUUGCAGCUCCGCCUAGGAGCAGCUAAAGAAAUACUUAAUGUGGACAUGAAAGAAAUGCUGUUUCUGCUACUUCGCUAAGUUAAUGAAGAGACUAAUUGUAGUAGUGGUAUAGGUGUGUGUGGAGCAGUGGCCAUGGCAAGGCUCUGAAAUACUCACGAUCAUUUCUUCUAUGGCAUGACACCUGGAGAUAUCCCUGAAGCAACCAAUGAUAUGUUGCUUCGAAAGCAGGACACCAAGAGACAGCACAUUGUGGCUUUGAACAAAGGUCUGUCUAGUAAAUAAAGGUAUGUCAGGUUAUAGCCACGCCCAUCCAUUUGCAUAUCUGGGCUGCUUUCCAGCCAUUGGGCCCCAACUGAGUAGCCAUGACACAGCUUCCACCUGCUGGUCUGCAAAGCUUAGAAUGUUUACUGUCAGCACUUUAUGGGAAAGCAUUCCCCAUUCCCUGAUGUAAACAAUCAGAAAACAGAAUAACAUGUAACGUACUCCAGAGAAAGACCCUGCACGAGGAGGCAUGCAUAGGAUGUUUAUUACGUCAUUAUUCGCCUCUCAAGUAGCUGGAGACAAUCUAAAUAUUAAUCAGAAGAGGAAAGCUGUGGCAGUGGCAAAGAAUACAUUCUGUCUACAGGGAGUAAUGAAGAAAAAUCUCCAGUAGAGACUAUUGUGUGGGGGGCGGGGAGCAGGGGUGUUCCCAUUUGUGUAUGACACGUGAAACAUGCCGUAUAUCUCCUACCAUGUUGCCAUUUGUGUAAGACACGUGAAACAUGCCGUAUAUCUCCUACCAUGUUGCCAUUUGUGUAAGACACGUGAAACAUGCCGUAUAUCUCCUACCAUGUUGCCAUUUGUGUAAGACACGUGAAACAUAUCAUAUAUCUCCUACCAUGUUCCCAUUUGUGUAAGACACGUGAAACAUGCCGUAUAUCUCCUACUAGGUCAUGUGUAAAUAUACUGACGCAGAGAAAGGACUC
rnacentral:lncRNA from 1 species